GUGUGUGUUAAUAGGGUAAAAAGAAAAGAAAAAAAAAGCAAAAACAGGCAAAAAGAGAGCAAAAGAUAAUGUAAACAGUGCAAAAAUAUUUCACAAAUACCCCCAAUACCCCCACACCUAGUUUAGACAUUGUCCUCAAUGUAAAAUAUACAAGGAAAAUUGAAGAGAGGGAAAGGGACUUCCUGGCCUGUGGGUGAUUUGGCCAGUGAUUUGGGCAAAUCACUCAGCCAAAUCACUGUCUGUCAUGGUGUGUGGGCAGGAGAUUGU
rnacentral:lncRNA from 1 species